CCCUUAGAUGUUCUGGGCUGCACGCGCGCUACACUGAAGCUAUCAACACGUUUUCCCUCCCUGAGGAGGGCGGGUAACCUUUUGAAUCAGCUUCGUGGUAGGGAUCGGGACUUGCAAUUGUUCCCCGUGAACCAGGAAUUCCCAGUAGACGCGAGUCAUAAGCUCGCAUCGAUUAAGUCCCUGCCCUUUGUACACACCGCCCGUCGCUACUACCGAUUGAACGUUUUAGUGAGGCAUUUGGACCGACGCAUCUCAGUUUAACCGCUGGUUUGUGUUGGAAAGACUUCCAAACUUGAGCGUUUAGAGGAAGUAAAAGUCGUAACA
rnacentral:rRNA from 1 species